AGAAAGGCGUAGAAAGGUGAAAAAGUUGGGAAGAGAAGGAGGUAGUUGGGAAUUGUUGGAACUGGUAAGGGGUUCUCGGUGGCCUGUGAACAGGAUUCUGGAAGCUGUGACGAAUUGUUUGGAAAGACUUGAGGAAUACCUACUGCAUUCUCCUCGCUGUAUUCCAGCAUUAAGAAAGCCUGGGUGUUUUUGUUCACUGAGUCAACCAAUAUUUGAGGACCUAUGAUGUGCCAGAGCCUGAGCGUGGCCUUGGAGAAGGGUUUGGUUCCGUCACUCAUUGGGUUCCUCCAGAAGCAGUCUUCAAGCCAAGAAUUGAGCAUAAGUGGUUUUCUAAUACCCAGCCCCAGAAGAAGAAACCAGUAAGGGAGUAGAAGAAGCAGACUGAGGAGAGGGAAGAACCUAAGAGAGAUCCUGCACCCUUGACCUCUAUACUACUCUUCCUAACACGUGCCAUAAACUGCAGUGAAACAUCCUGGCCAAAGGAUGCAGUAAGGAUUUACGCCAUGCUAACCGUCCCAGGAACUGGAGAGAUGAUACCUCAGGAAGAAGGACAUGGAGCUUCUGGAAGACAUGGUUGGCUUAGCUGCAAGGAAGUUUGAAGAACAGAAGGAAACUGAUUUCAAAUGAAAUUAUAUUAGCUCAGAUGGCCAGGGCAAUAAGCAUUUCCUUUCCUUGCAUAGGCUAUUAUUAAAUAUCCUAUUAUUUAGCAAAAACUUUUUUAAACAGCAGACUUCACAUUUUGUUGAGGCUGUGGUUAACAUCUAAGAUAACGGGAGGCAUGACUAGAUUGUGUGUAUUCUCUGGAGCCUGGAGCUCACAGUUGAGCAUUUCUUUAUAAAGCAGCAUACUAAA